AGUUGGGCACUCUAGUGAGACUGCCGGUGACAAACCGGAGGAAGGUGGGGAUGACGUCAAGUCCUCAUGGCCCUUAUGUGUAGGGCUACACACGUCAUACAAUGGUCGGUACAGAGGGUUGCCAACCCGCGAGGGGGAGCUAAUCUCACAAAGCCGAUCGUAGUCCGGAUCGCAGUCUGCAACUCGACUGCGUGAAGUCGGAAUCGCUAGUAAUCGUGGAUCAGCAUGUCACGGUGAAUACGUUCCCGGGUCUUGUACACACCGCCCGUCACACCAUGGGAGUGGAAUCCGCCAGAAGUAGUUAGCCUAACCGCAAGGAGGGCGAUUACCACGGUAGGUUUCAUGACUGGGGUGAAGUCGUAACAAGGUAGCCGUAUCGGAAGGUGC
rnacentral:rRNA from 1 species